rnacentral:tRNA from 1 species
AGCUCAGGUGGCAGAGUGCAUGCUUAGCAGGCAUGAGGUCCUGGGUUCAAUCCCCAG